AGCGAACGCUGGCGGCAGGCCUAACACAUGCAAGUCGAACGAACUCUUCGGAGUUAGUGGCGGACGGGUGAGUAACACGUGGGAACGUGCCCUUUAGUACGGAAUAACUCAGGGAAACUUGAGCUAAUACCGUAUGUGCCCUUCGGGGGAAAGAUUUAUCGCCAUUGGAGCGGCCCGCGUCUGAUUAGCUAGUUGGUGAGGUAAAGGCUCACCAAGGCGACGAUCAGUAGCUGGUCUGAGAGGAUGACCAGCCACAUUGGGACUGAGACACGGCCCAAACCCCUACGGGAGGCAGCAGUGGGGAAUCUUGCGCAAUGGGCGAAAGCCUGACGCAGCCAUGCCGCGUGGAUGAUGAAGGUCUUAGGAUUGUAAAAUCCUUUCACCGGUGAAGAUAAUGACUGUAGCCGGAGAAGAAGCCCCGGCUAACUUCGUGCCAGCCGCCGCCGUAA
rnacentral:rRNA from 1 species